AUUGAACGCUGGCGGCAGGCUUAACACAUGCAAGUCGAGCGAGCGGCGGACGGGUGAGUAAUGUCUGGGAAACUGCCUGAUGGAGGGGGAUAACUACUGGAAACGGUAGAUAAUACCGCAUACCAUCAGAUGUGCCCUGAGGGGAGUAGCUAGUCGGUGGGGUAAUGGCUCACCAAGGCGACGAUCCCUAGCUGGUCUGAGAGGAUGACCAGCCACACUGGAACUGAGACACGGUCCAGACUCCUACGGGAGGCAGCAGGAGGGAAUAUUGCACAAUGGGCGAAAGCCUGAUGCAGCAAUGCCGCGUGUGUGAAGAAGGCCUUCGGGUUGUAAAGCACUGUUGGCGGGGAAGCGUUACUCGCAGAGGAAGCACCGGCUAACUCCGUGCCAGCAGCCGCGGUAAUAC
rnacentral:rRNA from 1 species